GUCCAGGGAUGGAAUGGCAUCAUGGCAUCUGCCCAGUAAGCGGAACACUGUGGGUUUGAUUCCCAUCCCUGGACA